UACAGAGGAGCCAAGCGUUGUCCGGAUUGACUGGGCGUAAAGCGUACGCAGGCGGCACCGUGCGUGGGGUGUGAAAUCUGGCCGCUUAACGGCCAGGCGCCAUCCCAUACGGCGGAGCUGGAGUGAUGCAGAGGUCGAUGGAAUUGCCGGUGUAGUGGUGAAAUGCGUAGAGAUCGGCAGGAACACCCAGAGGGAAACCAGUCGACUGGGCAUCUACUGACGCUGAGGUGCGAGAGCGUGGGGGAGCGAACCGG
rnacentral:rRNA from 1 species